rnacentral:rRNA from 1 species
GAUGAACGCUAGCUACAGGCUUAACACAUGCAAGUCGCGGGGUAACAUCUGGUAGAGCUUGCUCUUCCAGGAUGACGACCGGCGCACGGGUGAGUAACGCGUAUCCAACCUGGCCCAUACCACGGGAUAGCCCGUCGAAAGGCGGAUUAAUACCGUAUGCUGUCAUUAAGAUGCAUAUAUUGAUGACGAAAGGACUGGCGGUAUGGGAUGGGGAUGCGUCUGAUUAGCUUGUUGGCGGGGUAACGGCCCACCAAGGCGACGAUGCGUAGGGGUUCUGAGAGGAAGGUCCCCCACACUGGUACUGAGACACGGACCAGACUCCUACGGGAGGCAGCAGUGAGGAAUAUUGGUCAAUGGGCGAGAGCCUGAACCAGCCAAGUCGCGUGAGGGAAGACGGUCCUACGGAUUGUAAACCUCUUUUGUCGGGGAGUAAUAGGCGGGACGUGUCCUGCUGUGAGAGUACCCGAAGAAAAGCAUCGGCUAACUCCGUGCCAGCA